AGAAAAAUACAUGAAACCAACUUGAUCAAAUGAUAACAAAACUAAUAGAUUCGAUCAAUCUCACGUAGAACUACAUGUAGAGCACCUAUCAAUUAGUAAAAGCUGCAGUUGACUGAAUAUAAAUGACUAGAAUAAUAGCGCUAUCUAGGGCUAAUUUAUGGCUAAAAAUUUGCAUAGGCAUCAAGCCUAAAUCUUUAAAUAUGAUUUUAAAGAUACACAUUCCCAUUAUGAUACAAUGAGGCACUGAUUACUAAUCCAGGCACAAAAAAGCAUUCAAAUUAUCUUAUUGGAUAAAAACAAUCAAAUUUGCAAUAACACACUCUUAACUUGUAAUCUUAAAAACAAAAAAAUUACAGCAAAGGACAACCAAAUUUAGUCACUGUAAAUAUUCUACACUGAAAUGCAGCUCCCACCACUAUUAGAUCUUGCUCUGCCAUACUUUAAGAUUUGCUUUGAGUGGGGUCUUGUCCAAGCACAUAGAAAGGUAAUUCUGAAUAGACCUGGAAAAUUAAUUAAAGCACCAACUGCAUUAUCUAAUUGACACAGCAAGUGGCCGUCCCUAGAGUAGGUGGCAAAAAGCUUGGUGGUUAGUACCCGAGACUCAAGUUCAAAUCCUAAUUGAUUCACAUUUUCAGCUAAAUUUAUUUGUAAAUAAAAUAAACGAAGCGAAUAGCGUGCUACCUAUCUCUCAAAAAAAAAAAAAAAAAAAAGACACUGCAAUGAGAUGCAUCUCUUGGAGUUGGUACCUAAUAAUGAGAGCUUGAAGCUUUUUUAUGGGUCUCGUAGUAGGAAUCAACAAGAGAUUGCCUUGGAAGUUCAAAUAUUCACUAUCCAUUACCUGAGCUUGCUGCAGUAGUAGAAAAUCUCUCUUUCUCUCUCUAGAUCUCUCAGGUUAAAUAUCUCCCUCCCUCUCUCUUUCUCUCUCUCUCUCUCCAAGACAAAUAAAUCUCCAUAGGACUUCAUUAAUAAUGGCAUUACAAAUUAAAUGCACAAAAAGUUGAAGUUAAUGCACAUAUAUUUCCUUCAAGGAUGAGAACCAACGCUACGACUACAAAUACAAAAACACCAUAUAUUUUGUUCCAGUGAAAAAAAAAAAACCAUAACAAAUAAUGCAGUAACUUGCAUGAUAGCUUGUUAUAAUUAUUACUGCACAUGAAGUAAUUACUUUGUAAUGCAUUCUCACCUACCAUAUCUCUCAUAUCAGUACAAAGAAAGAAAAAAAUUGAAAACAAAAAAGAAAUACACAUGCAUACAUACAUACAUACCUACAUACAUACAGUUGGGCUAGUACAAGAAGACAAUGACCAAAUGAUGAAACGCAUGGUAGUUUCUGAUACGAGGCGGGCUCAUGCAUUUAUUCUCUUUGUAAUUUACUCGUUGUAUUCAUGAUUCAUUUAUUUUUAAAAAUAAGUUUAAAAUAGAAAAAGAAAAGGCCAUCUCAUCAUUGCUCUCUCCGUUCCCUCUUGAAACCCUAAACUUGGAAAAGACAUCAGUGGAGCAUAUUCGACCAGAUCAUUUAUCACUUUAACAUAUUUACUGCACCCGAGAAAAAUGAGAUGGUUCCGAGGAAAUUAAGAAGAAAAUCCAAAGAUGCCAAAGGGCUUCUUCUGCGUUGCCUCAGCAAGAUCAUGGAAAAUGCUAUUGAAAGAUGAAUAAGAAUAACAAAG
rnacentral:lncRNA from 1 species